rnacentral:rRNA from 1 species
UACGUAGGUGACAAGCGUUGUCCGGAUUUACUGGGCGUAAAGAGCGCGCAGGCGGUCGUUCAAGUCGAGUGUGAAAGCCCCCGGCUCAACUGGGGAGGGUCAUUCGAUACUGAUCGACUCGAAGGCAGGAGAGGGAAGUGGAAUUCCCGGUGUAGUGGUGAAAUGCGUAGAUAUCAGGAGGAAGACCAGUUGCGAAGGCGACUCUCUGGGCAAUUCCUGACACUGAGGCACGAAGGCUAGGGGAGCAAACGGG